CUAAACUGAGGGAGGUACGUCGAAACUGACCGGCUAGAGGGACGUAGAGGUAAGCGGAACUCUCGGAGUAGCGGUGAAAUGCGUAGAGACCGAGAGGUACCCCGAUGGUGAAGACAGCUUACUGGGCGUCUCCUGACGCUGAAGCGCUAAGGCCAGGGGAGCGAAGGGGAUUAGAUACCCCCGUAGUCCUGGCUUCAAACGAUGUGGGCUUGGUGUCGGCCCCCUAUAGAGGGUCGUUGCCGGGGUUAACGCGUUAAGCCCACCGCCUGGGGAUUACGUCCGCAAGGAUGAAGCUCAAGGGAAUUGACGGGGGCCCACACAACCGGUGGAGCACGUGGUUUAAUUCGAUGAUAAGCGAAGAACCUUACCAGGGCUUGACCUAGCGGUAGUAGAACCCCGAAAGGGGAACGACCUCAAGCUUUGCUUGAGGAGCC
rnacentral:rRNA from 1 species